AAUGAACGUUGGCGGCGUGGAUUAGGCAUGCAAGUCGCGCGAGAAUUCCCGCAAGGGAAGGACAGCGGCGAAAGGGAGAGUAACGCGUGGAUAUCUGCCCUCAGACCCGGGAUAGCUGCGGGAAACUGCAGGUAAUACCGGAUAAUGUCUUUGGACCAAAGGUGUGAUUCCGUCUGAGGAUGAGUCCGCGUCCUAUUAGCUAGUUGGCGGGGUAAUGGCCCACCAAGGCGAUGAUGGGUACUGGGUGUGAGAGCACGACCCAGCUCACUGGGACUGAGACACUGCCCAGACACCUACGGUGGCUGCAGUCGAGGAUCUUCGGCAAUAGGGCGCAAGACCUGACCGACGCGACGCCGCGUGCGGGA
rnacentral:rRNA from 1 species